rnacentral:misc_RNA from 1 species
GAUGAAGAACGCAGCGAAAUGCGAUACUUGGUGUGAAUUGCAGAAUCCCGUGAACCAUCGAGUCUUUGAACGCAAGUUGCGCCUCAAGCCAUUAGGUUGAGGGCACGUCUGCCUGGGCGUCACAUAUCGUUGCCUGAUGCCAGUUUCCUCGUGAUGGGUGACUGUGCAGGGCGAAUGAUGGCUUCCCGUGAGCAUUGUUGCCUCAUGGUUGGUUGAAAAUUGAGUCCUUGGUAGGGAGCGCAGUGAUAGAUGGUGGUUGAGUGACGAACGAGACCCAAUCAUGUGAGACCCCUACCGAAUUUGGCCUUCAUGACCCACAUGCGUCUUUGGAACGCUCAUGACGAGACCUCAGGUCAGGCGGGGCUACCCGCUGAGUUUAAGCAUAUCAAUAAGCGGAGGA